AACGAACGCUGGCGGCAGGCCUAACACAUGCAAGUCGAACGAGACCUUCGGGUCUAGUGGCGCACGGGUGCGUAACGCGUGGGAACCUUCCCUUAUGUUCGGGAUAACUCCCCGAAAUGGGUGCUAAUAUCGGAUAAUGUCUGCGGACCAAAGAUUUAUCCCCCUUGUAUGGGCCCGCGUUGUAUGAACUAGUUGCUAGGGUAAAAGCCUACCAAGGCUACGAUCCAUAGCUGGUCUGAGAGGAUGAUCAGCCACACUGGGAGUGGGACACGGCGCAGAAUACUACGGGAGGCAGCAGUGGGGGAUCUUGGACAAUGGGCGAAAGGAUGAUGCAGUACUGCCGCGUGAGUGAUGAAGGCCUUAGGGUUGUAAAGCUCUUUUACCCGGGAUGAUAAUGACAGUACCGGGAGAAUAAGCACCGGCUAACUCCGUG
rnacentral:rRNA from 1 species